rnacentral:rRNA from 1 species
UGGCGGCCCGUCCGCGGCGACCUCUGCGUAGUAAUACAUCUCGCACCGGAACCGCGACGCGGCCACGCCGUAAAACACC